CACAGUUAAUACAUAUACACACAGACGUAGUUGUAACCAGACAAGUUGGCCACAGGAACAGAGGGGUUGAGGGCCCUGCUCAAUGAGCUUACAUGCUAGAGGGAGUGGAGUAAAAUGACACAAAAAGGUAAGGAUAGUAUUAUACUAGUGAGGAAACAGUCAGGAGUUAUUAACAGUUUAAUUGAUACGCUUUUAUGAAGAAGUGGGUUUUUAAUGAUUUUUUGAAGGAG